rnacentral:rRNA from 1 species
GACGAACGCUGGCGGCGUGCUUAACACAUGCAAGUCGAACGGAAAGGCCCUGCUUUUGUGGGGUGUUCUAGUGGCGAACGGGUGAGUAACACGUGAGUAACCUGCCUUUGACUUUGGGAUAACUUCAGGAAACUGGGGCUAAUACCGGAUAGGAGCUCCUGCUGCAUGGUGUGGGUUGGAAAGUUUCGGCGGUUGGGGAUGGACUCGCGGCUUAUCAGCUUGUUGGUGGGGUAGUGGCUUACCAAGGCUUUGACGGGUAGCCGGCCUGAGAGGGUGACCGGCCACAUUGGGACUGAGAUACGGCCCAGACUCCUACGGGAGGCAGCAGUGGGGAAUAUUGCACAAUGGGCGGAAGCCUGAUGCAGCAACGCCGCGUGCGGGAUGACGGCCUUCGGGUUGUAAACCGCUUUCGCCUGUGACGAAGCGUGAGUGACGGUAAUGGGUAAAGAAGCACCGGCUAACUACGUG